rnacentral:rRNA from 1 species
GUUGGGAAUAUUGCACAAUGGGCGAAAGCCUGAUGCAGCGACGCCGCGUGAGCGAUGAAGUAUUUCGGUACGUAAAGCUCUAUCAGCAGGGAAGAUAAUGACGGUACCUGACUAAGAAGCACCGGCUAAAUACGUGCCAGCAGCCGCGGUAAUACGUAUGGUGCAAGCGUUAUCCGGAUUUACUGGGUGUAAAGGGAGCGUAGGCUGCGUGGUAAGUCAGAAGUGAAAGCCCGGGGCUCAACCCCGGGACUGCAUAUGAAACUAUCAUGCUAGAGUGUCGGAGGGGUAAGUGGAAUUCCUAGUGUAGCGGUGAAAUGCGUAGAUAUUAGGAGGAACACCAGUGGCGAAGGCGGCUUACUGGACGAUAACUGACGCUGAGGCUCGAAAGCGUGGGGAGCAAACAGGAUUAGAAACCCCAGUAGUCC